rnacentral:piRNA from 2 species
GGUGAAUUGCAGUACUCCAACAUUC